UCUGAGGCUUCUAAUUAGAUAACAGUGAUUCCUAGGGCAAGAAUCACUUGCAUGCUGAUAAAAGCCAGGGAGGCUCAGAGAAGCUAGAAACAACUGGAUCAUCAACACAAACUACUGCACUCCACUGGAAUUGAACAAAGACCUUUGCUGAAAUGCCCUAGCCAGCAAGAAAUGGUAACAUUCAGAUGAGAGAUGACCUUCAAGCAAGUACUGGUUAGAGGUAAAGAAACUGAAGCACAAACAAGUUGGGUAAGCUGCACAAGUUUACAAAGAUAUUUAGAAAUUGCAUCAAGAAUGUCCUGGCAUUCAGACUAAUGCAUAGAAGAGCCUAGAUCAAGGAUGGUUAGCUACAACUGAAAAUAUGAGAAGAAGAAGGAAUGAUUGCAUUAUUUUCCAAAUAUUCCAUUUAAGCUGAAGCUCUGCAUACAAAGCAAAAUGGAGAAUUGGAGCAGAAGAGAGUACUUUAAACUAAGUUUUCUUCAAAAUAGUCUCAAAAUUGUGGUCAAAAUGUUUUUUUUUAAUUAUUGUACUUCAAGUUCUGGGAUACCUAUGCAGAACGUGCAGGUUUGUUACAUAGGUAUACAUGUGCCAUGGUGGUUUGCUGCACCCAUCAACCUAUCAAUCCAUCAUCUACAUUAGGUAUUUCUCCUAAUGCUAUCCAUCCCCUUGUCUUCCACCCUGCAACACGCCCUGGUGCAUGAUGUUCCCCUCCCUAUGUCCCUGUGUUCUCAUGUCAACUCUCACUUAUGAGUGAUAACAUGGUGUUUGUUUUUCGGUUCCUGUGUUAGUUUGCUGAGAAUGAUGGUUUCCAGCUUCAUCCAUGUCCCUGCAAAGGACACGGAUUAAUUCUUUUUUAUGACUUCAUAGUAUUCCAUGGUGUAUAUGUGCCACAUUUUCUCUAUCCAGGCUAUCAUUGAUGGGCAUUUGGGUUGGUUCCAGGUCCUUG
rnacentral:lncRNA from 10 species